GGGCAAUGAUGAGAAAUUAGAGAAAGUCAUGCACCACGCUGAUUCUAAUUUGUGCUGAUAAUUUCUCCAUACCCAUAUUUUUCUGAGCUC
rnacentral:snoRNA from 2 species